rnacentral:tRNA from 1 species
GGAGAGAUGGCAGAGUGGUCGAAUGCGCACGCUUGGAAAGCGUGUGUCCGUUAUGCGGACCGGGGGUUCAAAUCCCCCUCUCUCCGCCA